rnacentral:rRNA from 1 species
GCCCUAGUAACGGCGAGUGAAGCGGCAACAGCUCAAAUUUGAAAUCUGGCCUUCGGGUCCGAAUUGUAAUUUGUAGAGGAUGCUUUGGGUGCGGUACCUUCCGAGUUCCCUGGAACGGGACGCCGGAGAGGGUGAGAGCCCCGUACGGUUGGAUACCAAGCCUAUGUAUAGCUCCUUCGACGAGUCGAGUAGUUUGGGAAUGCUGCUCUAAAUGGGAGGUAAAUUUCUUCUAAAGCUAAAUACCGGCCAGAGACCGAUAGCGCACAAGUAGAGUGAUCGAAAGAUGAAAAGCACUUUGAAAAGAGGGUUAAAUAGCACGUGAAAUUGUUGAAAGGGAAGCGUUUGCGACCAGACCUUUUCCAGGCGGAUCAUCCGGUGUUCUCACCGGUGCACUUCGCCUGGUUUAGGCCAGCAUCGGUUUUCUUAGGGGGAUAAAGGUUUAGGGCACGUAGCUCCUUCGGGAGUGUUAUAGCCCUCUACGUAAUACCCUUCGGGGGACCGAGGACCGCGCAUUGCAAGGAUGCUGGCGUAAUGGUCGUCAACGACCCGUCUUGAAACACGGACCAAGGAGUCGAACAUUUGUGCGAGUGUUUGGGUGUUAAACCCUCACGCGUAAUGAAAGUGAACGGAGGUGAGAGCCCUUCGGGGUGCAUCAUCGACCGAUCCUGAUGUCUUCGGAUGGAUUUGAGUAAGAGCAUAACUGUUCGGACCCGAAAGAUGGUGAACUAUGCGUGGAUAGGGUGAAGCCAGAGGAAACUCUGGUGGAGGCUCGCAGCGGUUCUGACGUGCAAAUCGAUCGUCAAAUCUGCGCAUGGGGGCGAAAGACUUAUCGA